AUUGAACGCUGGCGGCAGGCCUAACACAUGCAAGUCGAGCGGAUGAAGGGAGCUUGCUCCUGGAUUCAGCGGCGGACGGGUGAGUAAUGCCUAGGAAUCUGCCUGGUAGUGGGGGAUAACGUCCGGAAACGGGCGCUAAUACCGCAUACGUCCUGAGGGAGAAAGUGGGGGAUCUUCGGACCUCACGCUAUCAGAUGAGCCUAGGUCGGACUAGCUAGUUGGUGGGGUAAAGGCCUACCAAGGCGACGAUCCGUAACUGGUCUGAGAGGAUGAUCAGUCACACUGGAACUGAGACACGGUCCAGACUCCUACGGGAGGCAGCAGUGGGGAAUAUUGGACAAUGGGCGAAAGCCUGAUCCAGCCAUGCCGCGUGUGUGAAGAAGGUCUUCGGAUUGUAAAGCACUUUAAGUUGGGAGGAAGGGCAGUAAGUUAAUACCUUGCUGUUUGGACGUUACCAACAGAAUAAGCACCGGCUAACUUCGU
rnacentral:rRNA from 1 species